GAUGAAGAACGUAGCGAAAUGCGAUACGUAAUGUGAAUUGCAGAAUUCAGUGAAUCAUCGAAUCUUUGAACGCACAUUGCGCCUGCCAGCACUCUGGCAGGCAUGCCUGUUCCAGCGUCAUUUCAACCAUCAAGCCCUAGGCUUGCGUUGGAGCCCUGCGGCUGCCGCAGGCCCCUAAAAGCAGUGGCGGGCUCGCUAUCACACCGAGUGCAGUAGAUUACUCUUCGCUCAGGGCGUGUGGCGGGUUCCAGCCGUGAAACCCCCUACUUCUCAAGGUUGACCUCGGAUCAGGUAGGAAUACCCGCUGAACUUAAGCAUAUCAAUAAGCGGAGGA
rnacentral:misc_RNA from 1 species